rnacentral:rRNA from 1 species
GUACACUCCUACGGGAGGCAGCAGUGGGGAAUUUUGGACAAUGGGCGAAAGCCUGAUCCAGCAAUGCCGCGUGAGUGAAGAAGGACUUCGGGUUGUAAAGCUCUUUUGUCAGGGAAGAAACGGUGAAAGCUAAUAUCUUUUGCUAAUGACGGUACCUGAAGAAUAAGCACCGGCUAACUACGUGCCAGCAGCCGCGGUAAUACGUAGGGUGCAAGCGUUAAUCGGAAUUACUGGGCGUAAAGCGUGCGCAGGCGGUUUUGUAAGUCUGAUGUGAAAUCCCCGGGCUCAACCUGGGAAUUGCAUUGGAGACUGCAAGGCUAGAAUCUGGCAGAGGGGGGUAGAAGUCCACGUGUAGCAGUGAAAUGCGUAGAUAUGUGGAGGAACACCGAUGGCGAAGGCAGCCCCCUGGGUCAAGAUUGACGCUCAUGCACGAAAGCGUGGGGAGCAAACAGGAUUAGAAACCCGGGUAGUCC